AUUGAACGCUGGCGGCAGGCCUAACACAUGCAAGUCGAACGGUAACAGGAAGAAGCUUGCUUCUUUGCUGACGAGUGGCGGACGGGUGAGUAAUGUCUGGGAAACUGCCUGAUGGAGGGGGAUAACUACUGGAAACGGUAGCUAAUACCGCAUAAUGUCGCAAGACCAAAGAGGGGGACCUUCGGGCCUCUUGCCAUCGGAUGUGCCCAGAUGGGAUUAGCUAGUAGGUGGGGUAACGGCUCACCUAGGCGACGAUCCCUAGCUGGUCUGAGAGGAUGACCAGCCACACUGGAACUGAGACACGGUCCAGACCCCUACGGGAGGCAGCAGUGGGGAAUAUUGCACAAUGGGCGCAAGCCUGAUGCAGCUAUGCCGCGUGUAUGAAGAAGGCCUUCGGGUUGUAAAGUACUUUCAGCGGGGAGGAAGGGAGUAAAGUUAAUACCUUUGCUCAUUGACGUUACCCGCAGAAGAAGCACCGGCUAACUCCGUG
rnacentral:rRNA from 1 species